UAGUAGGUUCUGGGGUUUGAUAACAGAUGGAUGGUGCUGUGCUGGUUAGAUUAGUAGGUUCUGGGGUUUGAUAACAGAUGGAUGGUGCUGUGCUGGUUAGAUUAGUAGGUUCUGGGGUUUGAUAACAGAUGGAUGGUGCUGUGCUGGUUAGAUUAGUAGGUUCUGGGGUUUGAUAACAGAUGGAUGGUGCUGUGCUGGUUAGAUUAGUAGGUUCUGGGGUUUGAUAACAGAUGGAUGGUGCUGUGCUGGUUAGAUUAGUAGGUUCUGGGGUUUGAUAACAGAUGGAUGGUGCUGUGCUGGUUAGAUUAGUAGGUUCUG